GCGCAUCCUGGUGGCCGUCUUGUCACCUGCAGGAGCCUGCCCGCACCUUCGCAUCUGGCCCGGCGCCGUGAGGCGGCUGCCGACCGGCCCGGCUGCAGCAGGGCAGCGCCGGCACACCCUAAGCUUCGCCCUGCUGAGUCAGACCUGAGUUCGGGUCAGGAGGCUGCGAGUUACCACAGAAUCACAGCAUUGGAGGGGUCGUAAGGAAGCUCUAGUGACCAUCCAGCUCCCUCCUAAAGCAGGUUCCCUGCAGCAGGUCACGCAGGACAGUGUCUCCGCACGCGUUCUGAACAUCUCCAAAGGAGACUUCAGAGCUUCUACAGACAGAACUCUGUCACUCUGUCAGUUCUUCCUUUGUACAGAACUUCUUGUGCUCUGGUUUCUGCCUUUUGCCCUUUGCUCUAUUGCUGCUUGCCACCAAAAAGAUUCCACCUCCAUAGACUUGACUCUCACAGCUUAGAGAUGUAUAAACAGUAACAGCUUCAGGACUCAGCCUUUUCUCAUACAAAUGUCUCCAAGCCCCACAUCACCUUUGUGGCCCUCUGCUGGACUCUUUAUAGUAGAUCCUUGUCUUUUCUGAACUGAGAAGCCCAAAUCUGGACACAGUAUUCCAGAUGUGCAGAGGGGAAGGACUACUUCCGUUGGCCUGCUGGCCACACUCCUUUUAGUGCACCCCAGAAUUGACUGCAAGGGCAAACUGAUAGCUCACAGUCAACCUAUUGCCCACCAGGACACCCAGGUCCUUCUCUGCAGAGCUCAUCUCCAGCAGAUCCAGCAGUGCCUAACCCAUAUGGUUGUAUGCAUUUGAGUAGCCUCAAUGCAGAACAUCAAGGGGUGGCUUUGUGGAUAACUCAGCAAACUAUCAAACACAAACAACAUAAAAAAAAAGCAGCACCAUGGGUUGUGUCUCUGGAGAAAGAAUGUAUGGACUGAAUCCUCAGGAAUGCAGGCAUGGCCACAUUCCUGGUCCAGGUGACUGACAAGGUGCUCAGGACUUUCUGGUGCUACCUGGGUCACUCUGGAGCUUGGUGGCAGAUAAGAGACAGUCUUGAAUGCUUCAUAUCUGGGACAUCCAUGGAAGCAAGAAGACAUUUACAACCCUUCAAGAAAAGGAGAGUAGUCAGCCCAAUACAUGGUGCAGGGAAGUGCUGUCCAUGCCAGCCAACCUGCUGGCAUUGUUCAAGAGCAGGAAGGAAAGCAAGUCAUACGGCAAAGCUGAGAAGAGAGACAAACCGGAGUCUUGGUGUGGCUUGGGAAACCAGGAAGUGGAAAAAGAACAAAGAGAAAAUAGAAAGGACUGCUGUUCCUUAACUGUCCAACCUAAAUACAAAGAAAUAAAUAGAAAUGAAAUCUAUACA
rnacentral:lncRNA from 1 species